rnacentral:pre_miRNA from 1 species
GCUCCUAGGGUCUGAUCCAAAGCCCACUGAAGUCAAUGGGAGUCUUUCCACUGACAUCAGUGGACUUUGGAUCAAGGCCCCUGGUGC